AGUUUAUUCUAAUGUGAUCAAUAUUAAUUAAAAUAAAGAAUAAAAACCGGACAAUAAAAGAGUUUCAAUGGGAACAAUAUAAUUUAUAGCCAAAUUAUACAAAACCAAGUAUUCGUAAGGGAGUUCAUCGACUCCACCUAACCUAUGAAAAAUAAAUUACAAAGACAAUAAAGAAAAAAACUUUAUUGGCCUUGGAGUUCCUUGGCCCUCCUUGCCUCCUCCUUAGAGUUCUCCUAACUCUCUUUUGAGUAUCACUAUUGUUGAGUGAUUUCUGAAUGAAUAAUAUUGAAGGAGGAAUGUUAUAUUUAUAGUUUUUCAGCUGAGUUUGGGCUUUUUAUGCGCGUCCAUCGCACCCAUCGUGGCCACGAUGACGUGUAAUUUCGCCUCAUCGUGGCCACGAUGGAUCAUAUCGUGGUAUGAUGGAAGAUUUUCUCCAGAAUUUCUGCUUUCUUCAACUGCCUUUUAUCGUGCCACGAUGACAAGUCAUCGUGGUACGAUUGUAUAGAUUUGUUGCAGAU
rnacentral:lncRNA from 1 species